rnacentral:tRNA from 1 species
GCCCGGGUGGUGAAAUUGGUAGACACAGGAGACUUAAAAUCUCCCGACCUCGCGGUCGUACCGGUUCGACCCCGGUCCCGGGCACCA